GUGCGCGCAUAAUUGAAGGUGAAAGCGAAAGCGAUCGAGCCUUGGUGGCUUUAGUGGCGGUAAUGUGAGCAAGAUAUGACGGCCAAAUAGCUUGGUUUCUCGGUGAAUUAACGUGGGGUACCCGUAUAGAGGUCCGCGCGUGCGCGCAUAAUUAAAGGUGAACCGUGCAUGAAUGCGCAUGAAUGGAUUAACGAGAUUCCUGAUGUCCCUAUCUACUAUCUAGCGAAACCACAGGCAAGGAUAGGACUUGGCAGAAUUAGAUUGAUUUUGAUCUUCAGUAUGAAUACAGACCGCGAAAGCGUGGCCUAUCGAUCCUUUUUUGAACUCGCGAGUUUCAAGGAAGUGGUGCCAGAAAAUUUACCACAGGGAUAACUGGCUUGUGGCAGCAAAGCGUUCAUAGCGACGUUGCCUUUUGAUCCUUGGACGGAGUAGGAUAGGAUAGGAUAUGCAUGUUUAUCCCCGUGAAUGGGAAAACCCCAGGGGUUAUCACACGGGCAAUCGUCAGAUCACCUCGCGCCCAUCGUCGGGUUACCGGAGCUAUUGCAGUGUGUUGUAUGUGAUAGACACGUUCCUUCAAUUUGGUAGAACCCAUUAAUCCGCUGGGUUCAGGCAAUGUCCGUAAAGUCCCUUGCCCAAGGACACAACCGACUAGCUAGUGCCCAGUUUCGCAACUGCAACCUUUCGAUUGAAAGGCGACGCACUUAACCGCUAGACCAUCGGGCCGGACACAAACGAUUCAGACAUUUGGUUAAUGUGAUGGGCUGUUAAGCCAAUGGUGCGAAGCUACGUACUAUCCGAUGAUUUUGACUGAACGCCUCUAAGUCAGAAUUCCACCUGGAAAGCGACGAUGCAUUCCUGCCUCGGCCUCGAGAGGCGUAGAUAUACGGCCACGUGGCCGUAGAAGGAGCCCGAUUCCGACCCAAUAGGCCGUGGCAAGAUGCGGCCGGGAAAAAGGUCAACCUCUGCUUGAAAGGCGAGGUGCUAUAAAUCAUGGAAGAGACUAAGAUAUGUCGGUUUGUCCGCCGAGGGUGCGGGCGUGCGAUCUCUGCACGGAGUGCGGGGGUUGCUUUUUUUUUU
rnacentral:ncRNA from 1 species